rnacentral:rRNA from 1 species
GACGAACGCUGGCGGCGUGCUUAACACAUGCAAGUCGAACGAUGAAGCCGGAGCUUGCUCCGGUGGAUUAGUGGCGAACGGGUGAGUAACACGUGAGCAAUCUGCCCUUGACUCUGGAAUAACUGCGGGAAACUGUAGCUAAUACCGGAUACGACACCUUGGGGCAUCCCAGGGUGUGGAAAGAAUUUCGGUCAAGGAUGAGCUCGCGGCCUAUCAGCGAGUUGGUGAGGUAAUGGCUCACCAAGGCGACGGCGGGUAGCCGGCCUGAGAGGGUGACCGGCCACACUGGAACUGAGACACGGUCCAGACUCCUACGGGAGGCAGCAGUGGGGAAUAUUGCACAAUGGGCGAAAGCCUGAUGCAGCAACGCCGCGUGAGGGAUGAAGGCCUUCGGGUUGUAAACCUCUUUUAGCAGGGAAGAAGCGAAAGUGACGGUACCUGCAGAAAAAGCACCGGCUAACUACGUGCCAGCCGCCGCAGUAA